CCUACGGGGGGCAGCAGUGGGGAAUAUUGCACAAUGGGCGCAAGCCUGAUGCAGCCAUGCCGCGUGUGUGAAGAAGGCCUUCGGGUUGUAAAGCACUUUCAGCGGGGAGGAAGGCGGUGAGGUUAAUAACCUCAUCGAUUGACGUUACCCGCAGAAGAAGCACCGGCUAACUCCGUGCCAGCACGCCGCGGUAAUACGGAGGGUGCAAGCGUUAAUCGGAAUUACUGGGCGUAAAGCGCACGCAGGCGGUCUGUCAAGUCGGAUGUGAAAUCCCCGGGCUCAACCUGGGAACUGCAUUCGAAACUGGCAGGCUAGAGUCUUGUAGAGGGGGGUAGAAUUCCAGGUGUAGCGGUGAAAUGCGUAGAGAUCUGGAGGAAUACCGGUGGCGAAGGCGGCCCCCUGGACAAAGACUGACGCUCAGGUGCGAAAGCGUGGGGAGCAAACAGGAUUAGAUACCCCUGUAGUC
rnacentral:rRNA from 1 species